rnacentral:rRNA from 1 species
UACGGGGGGAGCAAGCGUUGUUCGGAUUUACUGGGCGUAAAGGGCGCGUAGGCGGUCGUGACAAGUCACUUGUGAAAUCUCCGGGCUUAACUCGGAAAGGUCAACUGAUACUGUGCGACUAGAGUGCGGAAGGGGCAACUGGAAUUCUCGGUGUAGCGGUGAAAUGCGUAGAUAUCAAGAGGAACACCUGCGGCGAAGGCGGGUUGCUGGGCCGACACUGACGCUGAGGCGCGAAAGCCAGGGAGCGAACGGG